UACGUAGGGGGCAAGCGUUGUCCGGAUUUAUUGGGCGUAAAGAGCGUGUAGGCGGCUUUACAGGUCCGUUGUGAAAACUCGAAGCUCAACCUCGAGACGCCGGUGGAAACCGUAAAGCUAGAGUCCGGAAGAGGAGACUGGAAUUCCUGGUGUAGCGGUGAAAUGCGCAGAUAUCAGGAGGAACACCGGUGGCGAAGGCGGGUCUCUGGGCCGAUACUGACGCUGAGGAGCGAAAGCGUGGGUAGCAAACAGG
rnacentral:rRNA from 1 species